CCGCCGGUAGCCGGGGUUGUCCGGCCAGGCGGCACGGGGCGGCCGCGGCUGCGGCGUCUCGGUCAGCCAGUGUUCCAGGCCCUGGCCGGCGGG
rnacentral:tRNA from 1 species